AAACAUACCAAUGAAGCAAUUGCAUUGGAGAGCAAUCAACAUAGUACAAUUUCUGCUCUCGUACUGUUGAUAUGGAAAUCCAGCAGAUUCUGUACUGCCGAUCUUUGGCCAUGUUUGGAGGUGUUAAAUUGCAAGAAUGAUCAAUUUCCCCAUUACAAGAUACAAUGUGAACACUGUCUCACAAAGGGGGCGUUUGGAUGGGUGGCGCUGAAAGGGAGCAAGGUUUGCUUCAAAUACUAACUGAGAUGGAUGGGUUCAAAGUUUCAACAUCACAGGGAUGGAAGGCUGGCCAUAUUACAGCAAAAGAGUACGUUUGAAACCGGUCAAGAAGAUAGUACUGAAAUUCUGGAGGAGUUAAAGCUGAGGUUGGCAUUCAGGGAAGCAGCUAUGGCUGUUCUCAUUAAUUUGGAAUGCAUGUUUAUAUUCAGCUGCCAUAUUGUAUUACUCUUUUUGAUAAAAAUUGAUGAAAUUCGUGGUGGUUCAUAUUUUACAUCUUAUUAUUUUGUCAUGAUUUUUUUUUUUUUUUACCAAUUGUUGAGUUUGGAUGAAAGUGAGAGGUGUUUCCCAUCCUCUAGAUGCACUUUUUGCAUAACACCAAGGUCUGGAGAUGCUUCAUAUGGAAAAGAGUAUGUUUACAAAAACUUCUAACAUGUCACUAGAACUGAAACUCUUGGUGUGGUAUCUCACCACUUUUCUAAUGAAAUCUUGUUGCUUAAAAAAAAAAAAAAACACUCUUGGAUAUUUUCUCUUUUUUUCUUCCUUUUGGUUUCUGUGCUUUUAGUUUGAUAAGUGGUGGUAAGUGGGGAAAUUUUUUUCUUUUCU